AGAGUUUGAUCCUGGCUCAGAAUCAACGCUGGCGGCGCGCCUAACACAUGCAAGUCGAACGAGAAAGCGGGAGCAAUCUCGCAAGUACAGUGGCGUACGGGUGAGUAACACGUGGAUUAUCUGCCCUGGAGUGGGGAAUAACGCUGGGAAACCGGCGCUAAUACCGCAUAUUCCCGAGAGGGGAAAGCAGCAAUGCGCUCGAGGAGGAGUCCGCGGCCGAUUAGCUAGUUGGCAGGGUAAAAGCCUACCAAGGCUAUGAUCGGUAGCCGGCCUGAGAGGGCACACGGCCACACUGGCACUGAAACACGGGCCAGACUCCUACGGGAGGCAGCAGUGGGGAAUCUUGCACAAUGGGGGAAACCCUGAUGCAGCGACGCCGCGUGAGCGAUGAAGCCCUUCGGGGUGUAAAGCUCUUUCGGCAGGGAAGAUUAUGACGGUACCUGCAGAAGCAGCUGCGGCUAACUACGUGCCAGCAGCCGCGGUAAUACGUAGGCAGCAAGCGUUGUUCGGAGUUACUGGGCGUAAAGGGUGUGUAGGUGGCCUGUUAAGUUCCGUGUGAAAUCUCCCGGCUCAACCGGGAGGGUGCGCGGAAAACUGGCGGGCUAGAGUACGGGAUGGGAGAGUAGAAUUCCCGGUGUAGCGGUGAAAUGCGUAGAUAUCAGGAGGAAUACCGGUGGUGUAGACGGCUCUCUGGACCGUAACUGACACUGAGACACGAAAGCGUGGGUAGCAAACAGGAUUAGAUACCCUGGUAGUCC
rnacentral:rRNA from 1 species